rnacentral:rRNA from 1 species
UACGUAGGGGGCAAGCGUUGUCCGGAAUCAUUGGGCGUAAAGAGCGUGUAGGCGGUCCGGUAAGUCGGUUGUGAAAGUCCAGGGCUCAACCCUGGGAUGCCGAUCGAUACUGCCGGACUAGAGUCCGGAAGAGGCGAGUGGAAUUCCCGGUGUAGCGGUGAAAUGCGCAGAUAUCGGGAGGAACACCAAUGGCGAAGGCAGCUCGCUGGGACGGUACUGACGCUGAGACGCGAAAGCGUGGGGAGCAAACA